CGUUUAUGAUAAUUAUAAUAAAAUAAUCGAUGUACUGCAAGAACAACUAUUCUCACAUGACCUGCGGUUGUUCAACAUCCGUCUAUAAUUGUAGAAUGGCAAAGGGCAUCUCAUUUGCCUCCAAUUGAAGCUGUACUGCAUGGUGAUCAGAGAUGGCUGAUUGUAGAACAGCUGUUCUGUAGCACGAGAUGCGAGAGCCUUCUGUUGCAUACCGUGAGCCACAGCCACAGCCCGAGCAUCAAGAGCGGCCUCCCACAAAAAGAAGGAAAGG